UCACGGCAGAAAUAGGCGGGGUGGUGGU
rnacentral:sRNA from 1 species